CAGACACCCAGGAAGAAUACCACGUGACCACAAAAGCACUCCAAGAAACCCCAUCAGAAGCUAGAAAGAGGGGUGACCUCUCAACAGUGGAGGCUGAUCUGUCUGCCCUCUGGUUUCCCAGAAGAUCAUAAUCAUGCUGCAAUUGAAAUUGUGCGUCAAGGUAACUUGAAGUCAUCACUUUCUGGACUGCUUAUAGUCAUCUCAGGUAUGCCAACCCUGAAUAUUGAUUAGAAGGAAGGACUGUUGCUGCAGCUGAAGCUACAAUAC